UACACAGUAUUAUGAGGUUGGGGAAGGCAUUUGUACUCUGGUAAGCUUUAAUGUCUGUUUCUCUUCCAAGCACAUGCCCAGAGUCGAUAGUGGCAUAGGAUAUGUGUUGUCAUUUUCAGAUGGACCAGGAGCCAGCAAAGAACUCAGCUGGAUGCCACUCACUCUGUGGGGCCUUGGUGUAUGAUGUCUGUCCACGUGGCACAAAGGUGCAAAUUCCAUCACUGCUAACCAGCAUACAUAAAGGAGUUCCAGUUCUUUAAAUCCACACCCAGAGCGUUGCUCCUGCAAACUGCAGAUGCAGAUGGGUGGUGUUAAAACUGAAACCAACCAAGAAACUUUGGCAGAGAGAAUGUGAACAACGGAAUUCCUUUUGCAAAAGCCUGGGAAAGCUCCCUCAAACAAAGGGCUUGCUUAAGUCUUCCCUGCAGAUCUCCUGGUGUUUGAACACAGCUGUGAAGGGAACAGGAAGCUGAAAUAGUGCAGCCCACACCUUUGCUGUUAGCUACACAAAUUGUCCUCUGCCAGGUGACAGCUGGUCUUGACUAAAUCCUGAGGGCUGGAGGAACUGAGAUGGCUAUUACAUAGAGUCACUAUUUAGUUAUGACUUAAGACAACUUAGUGGCUGUGGUCUCUGAUUAGAUCACAUUGAAUUUUAAAGAUUAUUAUUUUUCUUUUCAUGAGCUAAAGUUCUUUAGGUUGCCUUCAACUUAACGUGCUAAGAUUUCUUUUAAGCUUAAAAUACUAACUCUGCAUUUCGUGGGUUUGUAAUGCUUAUUUUAUGGAUAGUCACAACAUCCCUGAGACAGUGCUUUAAAAAGGGACUGUCCUGGCCAAUGUGCAUUGUAUGGUCACCCUAGUCCAAGGACACAGUUGGAAAAUCACUGAAGUGGAGAAUGUGGCAGGUUUCCCCCUUCAUUGUCAUCUGAACCGGGGGAACCAGUGAGCCUUCUGACCCACUAGUCUGGGUUUCCCCUCUCCCUGUAGUGUUGUGACAAGCUGCUGACCUCCCAGUCCUGCACUUUCACCAACAUUCACAAAGCUAGGACACACCCAGCUGUAGUUACCUGCAGACUCUCUGACCAUCCACUGUGAGCCAACAGUAAAGAGGCUACCGUCAAAAUAACCACCAGCUUCCCAGCCUGGGACCCCGGAGCAGUACCAUCCUGGCUGGGUCAAAAUCCCCAACCAGUGUGAAUUUAUCAUCCAGUUUACCUCCUGCUCAGUGUGGAAGGAAUGCAACAACCUUUGCCCCUUGAGCUAACAUUUCCAAGCACUUCAUUCAAACUCAUUGGUUUAGAUUAAAACAUAAAAUAAGUUUAAUUUAAUUUAACUUAAAUUAAAUUAAAACAUAUAAGUGGCAAGAAACAUCAAAGCAGAUUACCUAGUAAAUAAAAACACAAACUAAGUCUAACAUCCUAGAAAGAUGGGAUUUAAAUCAGCAAAUUCUCACUCUGGCUGAUGAUACAAGUAGGCUUGCAGACUCUUAAGGGACAAGCUGCAUUUGCUUUGCAGCUUGGGAUCCCCAUUCCCAUUCCAAGUAUUUUCCCUUUAGGAGCUUCUAUUAGAUGUUCAGUUCUGAGGGAGUGAAGAAUCACAGAUGAUGCCACUCUCUGCCUUAUAUACUUUAGUAUAGGCCAAGAAACCUUUGUUUCAAAUUUGAUCCCCAGGCAAGUUUGUAGAAAAAUUGACAUCCCAAAAUGGAAUCCAGAAUUGUGUAGCCUGGUCAUAACAGUCAUUACUUACAUGCUGUCCAACAGAUCUUCAAGAAGUCUUACUGAAUGGGAGAUAAGAUUCCUAAUGGACCACCACUUUGAAUAGACCCGUCAGAACUUUGAAUAGACUUUUCAAAAUUUUGUCAAGCAGGUGUCACCCAGCUCUGGUUACAUGUGAAAUACAGAUUCCUAGUCAAUAUUCAUUAUUCAGAUACAACAGCGAUAUGUGCAUAUCAAUAAGAUAUUUAGCAAAUCACAGCUUAUGCAAAAAAUACCAUGCAUGACUUAUCUUGUACAAAAUGCAUCAUAAUUAUUUCAAUAUCAUAAUAAUAUAACUGAAGAGUAUGGGGUACAAAUACAGAGGGGUUCCUUGGCCUUACCCUUUUUUUUCUGGCCACAACCUGACAAUGGGGCCCAAGAAGAUGAAAAUCCUGUAAAUGCCCAACCAAAGAAGUCUCCAGGUGCUCUGUUCCUGAUGAUAGGGUCUGAGAACAGUAUUUCCAACCCCAAGAAUUCAAAGGAUCAGAUUGGCUUAAAAUGAUGAGAUUGGGAGUGUAAUUUAUUUCCCCUCUGGUUUUUGAGUCUUUAGGGUGCAUUCAGGUCAUGUUUUCAAUCUUCAGGCUUUUCCUAGCAACUAUGAACACUAAAACCAAUUUUCUUUAAGGGAUAGCAGAAAAAUAACAGUAGCUGGAGAAUAUUUUCAUUCCUCCAUAAACUUGGGCUUUAAGAAAACCCUCAAAUAUUAUGACUUGUGAUACAACCAUGAGAGUUAGCAACCUUAUUAGAAUGGAUCUUUGGUCUUGCUAAUCAAGCUGUGUUGUGAAAGAAAAAUCAUGGUCAUCGUUGUUUUUUGACUGGAUGGAAAUAACUUACAGUUGGGCUUCGAGUGAAUGUAUAACUUUUCUGCAACUAUUCUUGCUAAUAUACACCCACUCCUAGAUUUCCCAGAUGGUACAUGCUGCAUAAUUCCUUCAAAAAUCAAUGUUGCUACAUCAACUUACAACAGCUGAGGUUCUGGGCUAUGUAGGUGUGUACAGUGCUUAGCACAGAGGUCUUGAACAAUAAGAAUUAAAAGCAGCAAUGAAGCUUAAUCACAUGGUGAUUAGAAGUCACCAAAGAAGCACAGAGAUGGCUGAUACAAAUUAAUGUAAACAUUGAAAUAAAUAUUUACAGAAUUAUUUUGCAGUGGCUUAUAAGGUUAGGUCAGUCCUCCUUACCAAUGAAAGAAAGAUAUGCAGAGUGGUUGUUUUCCCUAGGUAACAUCAGUGAACACUGGGCUUGGUAAUAAACAAGAGAUUUUAUUAAGUAUAAAAAGUAGGAUUGAAAUGGUUAAAAGUGAAAACAUUCAGAUGUAAGUAGUUUACUAAUUAAAAUGAAUAGAAAAUGCAUAGAUAAUUCUAAUCAUCUAAGAAAUUUGUUGCAUGCAAAUUCUUACUCUAAACAGCUGUUCUUAUUUCAGGUAUAAGCUUUCAGAUUUGGCCUUUUACUCUGAUUUGGGUUUACAGCCCUCAAAGUUUUUGUGUAUCCUAGUAGGGUGUUCCAGGCAGUUUUGAAAAAAACAGCUGAAGACAAAGGGUUUGAUUGCUUCCCUUUGCUUAAAUAGACUUUCCCACAGGGUGGGAAUAUUUUGUUUUGCAUCUCCCAUCUCCAUGGAAUAUUACCAGGUUCAAAAUGGAUUCCAGUACCACAUGACAUGUCUUUCUAGGACCAACCACCAUUUGGGCUUGCAGGACAAGCGUGGCUGUUUACAAGGUAUUGAAUUGAUCACAGAGUUAUUAAAUUUCCGGACACCAAUAACAGCCCCCUCUAACACAUUAAGAAGUAUAAACAGAUCCACACUUCUAACUUCACGUACAAGAAUAGUACAUGCAUAAAAAUAGGAUAGUCGGCUCCAGAAGUUUGUAACUAUAAAAUUGAUAGGUUACAUGACCUGUUUGCAUAAAGCAUCUUUGUGUUUUUCAUAUUCAUAUUCACAAGCCAAUUUUCAUAAGGCAUGGGGGGGCAUCUCAAUCAUUUAGUUCAAUAGAGUAUAAAUUGCUCUUAUGCAGAUUUUUUCACAUAGUGGCUACGUCUAGACUGGCAUGAUUUUCCGCAAAUGCAAUCGCCAUUUUCGCCAUCAGGGCUUUUUUGCA